rnacentral:rRNA from 1 species
GAUGAACGCUGGCGGCGUGCCUAAUACAUGCAAGUCGAGCGAACAGACGAGGAGCUUGCUCCUCUGACGUUAGCGGCGGACGGGUGAGUAACACGUGGAUAACCUACCUAUAUGACUGGGAUAACUUCGGGAAACCGGAGCUAAUACCGGAUAAUAUAUUGAACCGCAUGGUUCAAUAGUGAAAGACGGCUUUGCUGUCACUUAUAGAUGGAUCCGCGCCGCAUUAGCUAGUUGGUAAGGUAACGGCUUACCAAGGCGACGAUGCGUAGCCGACCUGAGAGGGUGAUCGGCCACACUGGAACUGAGACACGGUCCAGACGCCUACGGGAGGCAGCAGUAGGGAAUCUUCCGCAAUGGGCGAAAGCCUGACGGAGCAACGCCGCGUGAGUGAUGAAGGUCUUCGGAUCGUAAAGCUCUGUUAUGAGGGAAGAACAAAUGUGUAAGUAACUAUGCACGUCUUGACGGUACCUAAUCAGGAAGCCACGGCUAACUACGUG